CUGACUAAUGUGAAUUUCCUUCAGUUCCUCCAUCACCCUAGGUCCUCUGUCCCUAGUACAUCAAGGAGAUUGUUUGUCUUCC